AUACAUCAAACUGGUCAUACGUAAUUCCCAGCCUUUGAAGGCCAAACAUAAGUUCACUUUAGAUCAAGUAAACAUCGUUCGGAAACUUUAUGUAACGAUAGUUACUGGAAAUUUUUUGGGAUCGCUUCUUCGUAUGACAUGCUCUCCGAUACACUUACUGGGUCGACUACUGUGUUGAAAAAGCGUACUACUCGAACACAUGAAGGUGCGCCAUUACUAGCGUUUUGGCCGUCCGUCCUUGCAAAUUUGGAAAAUUCUUAUAUCUGGUACAGUCCAUAAUAGUUCUCAUAAUCCUUUAAGCAAGGUUAUCUACGAGCAUGCUCCGAGUAAUUUAGUUCUUAAUUGCGACGUCAACUCAAAC